rnacentral:piRNA from 1 species
UCUAAACAGGUGACUACUGAAGAGUGUU